rnacentral:rRNA from 1 species
UACGGGGGGGGCAAGCGUUGUUCGGAAUUACUGGGCGUAAAGGGUUCGUAGGUGGCUCGCUAAGUCAGACGUGAAAUCCCUCAGCUUAACUGGGGAACUGCGUCUGAGACUGGCGAGCUCGAGUGCAGGAGAGGAGCGCGGAAUUCCAGGUGUAGCGGUGAAAUGCGUAGAUAUCUGGAGGAACACCGGUGGCGAAGGCGGCGUUCUGGACUGCAACUGACACUGAGGAACGAAAGCCAGGGUAGCAAACGGG